UUCCUCUCAGGAUCACACCUGAAGAGUUUCCAGGACUCUACCAGUCUCGACUAUGGGGAGGGAGAGGCAAGCAGAGGCCUGUCCAUUCCAUUCCUAGCUCGGGCAGUGGCUAGCGAGUGGAAAACAAUCCGCUACAAGU